AUAGAUGAGAACAGCAACACCAUCUGUUCACUCUGUGUUCUCUGUGCCCAGUGUUGUGUGAAACUUUCUAUCCAAUAUCUUGCAAAAUCCUUACAGCAACCCUAUAAGGGUUGGGUCGGGGCCUUCCAAUCUCUAUAGGUUUUACUGCUUCCAAAGACCUGGCAUACUCCUGGUUUGUGAUGAUCAAGUUCUGGGUCAGAGCAGGGAGAAGCAGCCCAUGAGGCCGGUGAAAUGGUGCCCAAUGGAGGGGAAGGCCCUGGCUUGUGAUCUUGGGCAAGUCCCUCCUCAUACCCAGCUUCAGCUUCUCCUCUAUAAAAUGGCUCUAGGAUGCAGCAGUGAACAAAACAGACGAGUCUACAGAGUUGACAUGACAUGCAGGGGCCAUGGAGAAGGCGAGAACUGUGGAAACGUCGUUGUUGAGUAUGUCAAAUGGUGAUGUGUGCUGUAAAGAAGGAGUGAAGCUGGACUCAGAGCGGACAGGAAGACAGGGGUAGGGGUAGGUCUGGGCUUUUGUACAGGGUGAUCUGAGAAGGCCACUUUGACAAGGUGAUAUGUAAAGUGAGGACACAAGCCCUGUGACUAUGUGGGCACAACUCUCCUAGGAAAAGGGAGCAGCAAAGUGCAUGGACCCCAAAGCAGGAAUGAAUAUGCUCAGUGCGUCCAAGGAAGAGCCGGGACCAGCAGAGCUCAAGUGGAGUGAGCGUGGGGAAAGAGCGGACCCGGUCAGAGGGGUGCUGGGGACCAGACAACGUCACGCGUCAUGGCCAUCGCUAAGGAUUUGGGGUUUUACUUUGCAUGAGAUGAAAAGCCACAGGAGGGUUUUGAAUAGAGGAGUAGAAUGAUUUGACUUGAGUUUUUAAAAGGUUUACUCCAGCUGCUUGGUGGAGAGUGGAUGGUGCAGGUGAGGGCAGAGGCAGGGAAACCAGUUAGGAGGCUGCUGCAGCGACGUGGGAGAGGACUGUGGGUGGUUUGGGCCAUAUUAGAAGCAGUGGUAAGAAACACUGAGCUCUGGAUGUGUUCUGAAGGUAUGCCAACGUGAUUUACUAACCGAUCCAUGAAGGGCAUGAGAGGAAGAGAGCAAUCAAAAAUGACCCCCAGGGUUUUUGUCUGAGCAUCUGGAGUUGCCCUUAUUUGAGAGUUAGAAGACCAAGAGGGCCGGGUGUAGUGGCUCACGUCUGUAAUCCCGGCACUUUGGGAGGCCGAGGCAGGUGGAUCACUUGAGGUCAAGAGUUGGAGACCAGCCUGGCCAACGUGGUGAAACCCCGUCUCUACUAAAAAUACAAAAAAUAGCCAGGCAUGGUGGUGGGCAUCUGUAGUCCCAGCUACUCAGGAGGCUGAGGCAGGAGAAUCGCUUGAACCCGGCAGGCGGAGGUUGCAGCAAGCCAAGAUCGUGCCACUGCACUCCAGCCUGGGUGGCAGAGCAAGACUCCGUCUCAAAACAAAACAAAACAAAAAACAAGAGGAACACAUUAGGUGGAUAGGAGAUGUCGUUUGGGUGCAGCCAGGCUGGGUGGCUCACACUUGUAAUCCCAGCACUUUGGGAGGCCCAGGUGGGAGGACUGUUUGAGCCCAGGAGUUGGAGACCAGCCCGGCUAACAUAGCGAGACUCCAUCCCUACAGAAAAAUUAAAAAAUUAGCCGGGCAUGGCGGCAUGUGCCUGUAGUCCCAGCGACUUGGGUGGGGGGCUGAGUUCAGGAGGUUUUGGCUGCAGUGAGCUGUGAUCACACCGCUGCACUCCAGCCUGGGCAUUAGAGCAAGACCUUGUCUUAAAAAAAA
rnacentral:lncRNA from 1 species